rnacentral:lncRNA from 1 species
GUGGUUUCUGGAGUCUUCUAGAUGAUGUAAAAUUACGCGGUGCGUUGAUAUCUCUAUGUAAUCCUGACAUGUGGGCCUUUCUUCCUUAUUUCCUGAUAACCCCCUGCAGAAAUAGAUAAACAACAAUACUCGUGGAAUUCUGUCAGAUCAAACCCUAAUUCUAGGUGAUGGUUGCAUAUUGGUCCUUUCUCUUGUUUAUUUGAUAAUUAAAAUUGAUACUUAAGAACCGUCAACACUGCCGGAAAUACUGACUACGCCACCCAACGAACCUCAGGACGAUUAAGAAAUUGGAGAGUCCCGUUCGGAGGACUUAAAAACACCGAACGCCUUGCCAAGAGGUAAACUUGGUAGUUACCCUUUCCUUUUCAAUUAUUUCAAAUAAUUUAUUUAGUUAAUCAUGUUCACACUAUCUUAAAAAGAAAAUAAAAAUAUGAAAAACAGUAAGCCCCAUGUGAGUAUACGAGUGGCAUAAAACCCAUAAGUACAUUCACUGUGGUGGCAUAAAAAUAAAAUAAAUAUUUUUAUGCUUUAUAAAAAUAAAAAUAUAUAAAAACAGGGAGUAACAAUUAUUAAGGAGUCUCAAGAUGAUAAAGACUAGAUAUUUAUGCUAACACUUAAUCAGUUCCACAAGCUUUGUUGUCUAUUUGAGCUCUACAGAAUUUAAGAAUCAAGAAGACUAGCAGAAGGAGGACAUUCUAAUCGCUGUCAGAAUGCUGCUGACUUUCAAAUACACCUCUGCCGCCUGCUAGCUACAUCAAGAGAAAUUACGUCAAAAUUCAGCUUGGGGGAGAGCACCCCCAUUUACCUCGAUAAGUAUUUCUAUCUAUCUUUAUACUUAUAUUAUUUUAGAAUAUUAAAAUACACAUAAACUAUGGGAAAACCAAAUAAAGAUUUUAUGCUUAUAUAUAUAUGUCUUUUGCUUAGUGUGUUUAAUAAAUAAAUAAAGUGGCUAUGCUAAUCUGUAUCUAAAUAAAACUUAAGCAUGGAUAUGAUGAAAAGUUGCUCUGCCUAAUUUACAAAUUUUAAGUUCUCUCUCAAGUUUAGAUAUAACUGUUAUAAUUUAAAGCUUGCUCUAGAUCUAAACUUGUGGGAUAAAAACUUGAUCUGAAGUCUAAGUUUUUAACGGAUACGAUAUGGGAAGGCUGAGCUGCUGUUUAUCUGUUCCUAGAGAUGCUAGAAUUCUGGAGAAUUUUAUCUUUGAAAAUCUUUAAAAUGUUGCAUGAUGAGUUCCUGUAUGAUGAGAGCUUAAAAUUCCUACCACAGCCAUAUAUACAUGCUUGCUAGACUUUGAGCCACACAUUUAUUAUUUACUGCUUAUGAGCAUUGAGUGUGGUCAAGCUGUGUAGACCCUUAGGAGCUUGUCAUGUGGUUAAAUCAAGAUUUCACUUGCACGUUCACUCAUAUAUGCUACUUCUAUUCCGGAAGUACCAUCCACAUAUAUCCACCCAUUCCAUCUCCAGAACCACCUAAAAAUAUUCUGCUCCUAAUCCGGGAGAGAAUAACCAAAAAUAUUUCUGUUUUUCCCUUGUGAAAUAAAUGCUCAAGUUAUCUUGUUACUACCACUUGCUAUAUUAUCUCAUGAGAUGAAUGCUCAAUAUUAAAAAAUAAUAAUAAUAAUAAUACGAGGAAAUAAAAAGGAGCAAGUGCUCGGAACCUCGAAAGAAAAGAAAAAGUGAGACGAGAGGUAAAAAUGGACAAGUGUCCGACAGUAGAAUUAGGGGUGCAAGAUACCCACCUGAGAGAAAAGAAAAAGAAGAGCAUCUCAUUCUCCUCAUAAAGUUUCAAAAGCAAGGAAGGUAUGUAUCCCCUCAAAAGAGCAAAGUAGAAUUAGACUUCCACCACCAUUCAUUCGCCACACAUGCACAUCUUGAUUUGGCUUAUUGACUUGUUACUUUGGAUCCAUGGUUUGACUAUGCAAUAAAUGUCUUGUAAGUAUGUAUAUUUUAUCUCCCACCUAUGAGCUCCAGAUAUUAAAGCCUUAUUAGAGUAGGGUGAGAGAGAAGACAAUGUCACUAUGCCUCAUACCACAAAUACCACAUAUCUUGAGAGAAGGCAUAUACCAUCAAUGCCUUGGUAAGGAUCCAAAAAUACCACAAAAGAGAGACCUGAGAGAAUCAUACAAGGAAUCUCUGAGUUUUAUUUGAAAAUCUGCAAAAAUCCCAGAGCUAUAGCUGAACAAGAAUAAGAGACAUGGCACUUGGCUAGACUGUUCUAUCUUUUAACCACUCAAGACAGAAGUGACAGUUACAAGUCCCAUGGUGAAGGUAAAGUAAGUUUUAAGUCUUGACAGUUUACUCUAACUCAGAGAUGAGAUCUUAUUUAAAAGCAUGUGUACCAUCAAAUUUUUAAAUAUAUUGCAACAACUUAUGAUCCAUAGCUGAGUCUAUCCUUGCUCAGGGACGAGCAAGAGGUAAGCUUGGGGGAGUUUGUUGACGGUCCUUAAGUAUCAAAUUUAAUUAUCAAAUAAAUAAAGAAAAGGAUCCAAAUGAAAUCAAGAUCUAGACUUAGGGUUUUAUCUGACAGAAUUCCACGAGUUUUGGUGUUUGUCUAUUUCUGUAGGGGGUUAUCAGGAAAUAUGGAAGAAAGGCCCACAUGUCAGGAUUACGUAAAGAUAUUAACGUGCUGCGCAAUUAUCUUACAUCUCGAAGACUCCAGAAGCCACGAGACCGAAGCGGAGGCGAAACGGGGCCAGAGGCAGGGCGCCCGCCCUGUCCUACUGGGCGCCCGCCCCCUGUCUAAGUCCAAUCAGGACUCUGCUUUGCGGGAAGUCUCCACCGACCUAAAGGAUGAAUCUAAACCAUACAAUCUAUGUCGGUUUGAUCCAAGGGCCCAUAUUCACUUGAAGGGACUAUAAAACCAGACCCCCUGGCACCUGGAGGAGAGAGCCUCUUGUUGACGGUCCUUAAUGCUCACAUUUAACCAUCAACUAAUCAUAGAAAAGGAUCCAAAUGCAACCAACACCUAGACUUAGGGUUUUAUCUGACAGAAUUCCACGAGUUUUUGUGUUUGUCUAUUUCUGCAUGGGGUUAUCAGGAAAUAAGGAAGAAAGGCCCACACGUCGGGUUUACAUAGAGAUAUUAACAUACCGCACAAUUUUCUAUCAUCUAGAAGACUCCAGAAGCCACGGGACCGAACGGGAAGGCAAUCGGGCUCGGAGGCAGGGCGCCCGCCCAGCUACAGUGCCCAAUCAGGACACGUUUCGCGGACAAUGCUCCACCGACCUAAUACUUCAAGGAAAACCACACGAUCAAUGUCGGUUUGAUCCGACGGCCUAGAUUCACUUGAAGGGACUAUAAAACCAGACCCCCUGGCCCCUGGAGAUCAUACCUCUUCUACAGAAUCAAAGUUAGGGUUUCAAUUCUUCAUCCAAGUAGAGAGGAUCCCUCUAGUUCUUCUAGUUCUACCUCUAGUUCAUCUAGAUCUAGUUCUAGUUCAUCUAGUUCUAGUUCUAGUUCCUCUAGUUCUAGUUCUAGUUAGUUCUAGUUGUAAUCUAGAAAAUAGGGAGAGAGAAGAGGAGAGCGGAGGAGGAGCCAGAUCUGUCGGAUCUUCCUCAACAUUAUACUUUUGCAGCAUCUGGUUCAUUCUUCAUCGUUCUCCAGGUUCUUCAACUCAUAACUCCUGAGUUCUCGAAUUACUUUUAUUUACAUUCAAGUUAUUUAUUGGAUUCCCGCUUGCAUCAAGUGCUCUAGUCAUUGAAACAUUAGAGUAGUAAUUAAUAGAUUAAACGUGGUGUUUAGUCUUGCGAUUACCUGGAAUUGCACCCAAUCCUGCGGAUUGUUGUGGUAGCCUUAGGGUAGUGACAGCCCUAACGGUCGACGUAUUCCACCUCGUUCGGAUCGGUGUUUGUAGGACCGUAGUCGGAGCUUCCUAGCCCCCUUCUCAUCUCUUUCUGUGGUUAGUGUUCUGAUGUCCCGAAAUAGAUAAUCUUGAAGUAAUUCUUGAUUCUUAGAUCAUCUAGAGAACUCUCAGGAAACUUCCUCUCUUCCCACCAAAAAUAAUUAUAUAGUUAUCCUUGGGCGAUCUUGGAUCUUAAUUAGUACACUCACGUUCUCUGUGGAAAAUCGAUACUCUGGAAUACUCCCGGGUGAAAGCUACAUCGGUAUCCGUGCGCUUGCGGAUUUUUCUGUUUGCGUUUAAAAUACCCAACAAGCUUUCUGGCGCCGUUGCCGGGGAACGGUAGCUGUGCUAGUUUUGAACUAAGUCGUCCGUGUAUCCUUUUUCUUUUCCUUUUUUACCACACUCACCUUAUCACUUUCACCAUACCACAUGGAUUUCACUCUAAGCAUUAAUGAGCAUGGAAUUUGUUUCAUAGCCACUUCAUUUGCUCCAUGCUCAUAAGCAACAUCUUCACAAUCCAUUGGUCUCUCCAACAUCACCACAUUCGAGAUCUCCAACCCCCACUUCCUUUCUAUUUAUAAAAACUUUAAAAGGGCGGUUGUCGAUGCAUAUGUCUAUAAUAAAUUUUGCAGAUCUCGUUGAGUUGAUCUUGAUAUAGGUCAGCGUUGGAGGGGAAACCACUUCGCUGACAUAAAUUGAUGGUUUCCCAAGGACAAGCUUAGUGUCCUCAAACAAGCACUGAUCAGAUUGUAACAUGAGCUUUUAAUUAUUUGCAACAUUAACUUGUGUAUUGAGCAUAUAAGGAUAAUUGUAAAAAAAUUCCUUCGGGUAUUCUUGUCACUAACCUUUCCAGGAUUGGAGCAAGAAGAUCGGAUGAAUGACAAGCACAAGGUAUGUCCAACCAAUCAUCAUACAACAUUGAAUUAAAUUCAUCCAAACUUGAAUUUUGCAAAAUUCAAGCUUGGGGGAGUACUUUAUACAAAAACAUCAUUUGCCAUGUUGCUAUGUUGGUUAUCCCUACCCUGAGACAUGCUCAAUUUGUUAAAUAGUAAUCACACUACUUCAUCUCCACUUGAGUAAAUCUCUAUAAAAGCCAUCACGCUACCUUUGUUUAUCCUAGUAAGUGUUAGUUUGGAAGUACUGUACAUACUUCUAUUGGUUUUUAAAUUAAGCAUGGUGCUUAGGUUAAACAGCCUUCCUUAAUCUAAUUAGACAUGGAGUCUAGUUUGGUUAUUGAACUAAAAACCGCUUGUGUAGACAUUGGUAUAUUUUGUUGGACUAACCCCUGCAGGAAAACAUUCAAUAUCGACCUGGGAAGUCCUGAGACAAACUCACAUUGGAGACAAAGAGAGAGACACAUGAAGUUUAACAAUCUACACAAGGAAGGCAUAGCUCACAAGAGAUGAUCCAUGGACGGUGCCACAAACACGAUGCACAACCACUAAGAAAGGAAAGCUUCCACAAGGUAAUACUGUACCAUCACUCUUCAAGUAAGGUAACAUCUUAAGGUACUUGACUAUCACUUCUAUAAGCUUUUUCUUGGUUCUGGCAUUCACAUGAAUAAAAGAGACAAACAUCUAUGAUCUACAACUCUAGAUUAACCAACCCAAUCGAUUCAACAUGUUUAGUCCUUCCACCUUUGUGAUUCCACACUCCUAAUCAUAUAAGCUAAAAUGUUGCACACUCAAUCUUUGGAAGAUAUAAACAAAACAUAUAGAUAGAUUAUCUUUCCAUAAGGUUGAGCAAUCUAAUCUGACAAAUGUUAAAUGCUACACUCAUGAUCUUAUUAUCCAUCAACUUUGUCUUGCUCACUAUGCUUAAGGUUAGAGAGAACAAAUACACUUUUGGUUCUGUUGGUGUUUUCCACCAACAGAGCCCAUGCACUUGAUCUCUGCCUUGUCUCUAUGAGCAGGUACACUUCGAGCAAAAUAUGAAGGACUUUUAUAACUCCCAGACUCCACCAAGUGAAGAACCUAGAUCUACGAGCACAAACACACUAGAGAUACUGGACACUCAGGCAAUCACUGCCCUGAGAUGCUUGAGGAUGUAACUACUGGAGUAACCCUGUUGUGGAAGUAAUUACUGACCUUCUGUCGGUUAAGAGAUACAAUCCAGGACGUCCCGUCAUCCCGAUCUCCAUUGGCAUGGUGGACUUCCCAGAAGCACUCUGCGACUUUGGCUCCAGCGUCAACAUUAUGCCCAGGGUACUCUAAGAAAAAUUCUUUACACAUCCUUUAUCAGAAACAACCAUGGGUUUGCAGCUUGCAGACUGUACACUAAGUUUCCCAAAAGGAAUAUUGAAGAACCUCUGUAUACGAGUUGGUACCUUGUACGCCCCAGCAGACUUCGUGGUGAUAGAGACUGGUACUGAUGAGAGGGCACCCAUCAUCCUAGGGAGGCCAUUCCUGAACACAUCGGGAGCUGUCAUCUACGCUAGUGCUGCCAAGAUUAGUUUCUACAUCAAAGGGAGAAAUGAGACGUUUUCCUUCAAGAACAAGACUACACAAAUCCCAGAGCAAUCUCGACAUGAACCAAGGAAGAGGACCAACAGGAGGAACAAGAACAAGCAAAUGUGUACCGAGUCAGCUAAGAUGGUCACUGCAGCUCAAGGAGAUCAAGAUCGUCAACUCAAGUCACCUUUCUUAAUCAAGAAGGACGACCCUGGUAUUCCAAGCAUCGAGUGCACAAUCAACGGAUAUUCUUUUCAGAAGACACUCUACGACACCGGAUCUAACGUCAACAUAAUGGCCGCAGUCACUUAUCAGCUCUUGCAUGGAACCAUGUCCCUACAACCAACAUACAUUCAGCUCCAGAUGAUUUUAAGGUUAUGGACAUGGGCGAAGACAAGUAUAAUCCACCCAUCAUCCUUGGAAGACCGUUCCUCAGCACUGUUAAAGCAAUCAUUUACAUUGGAACCGGAGAAGUCCACAUGCACUUCCCCUCUGAGAAGGUACGCCGCUAUUGUACUGACCCUAACUAUAUAGUUGAAGACUCUAAGUAGGUCAGGACAAGAAGGAGACGACGCAACCGCAACCAGAGAAGGUAAAAUCAUCAAGGACGGAUGGGUAGACUAUGAAGGAGAAGUUGUAAGGUCUAAAGACAUACAACUUGAACGGAACUGUCCUGAGGAGACCGUAGCACCGAGUCAUGUGUGGAGAGAGAAGAUAGUUAUACACGAAGAGCAGGCACCGCCAGAACCACCGACUACGCUAUCCAGCGAAUUCCAGGAUGAUUGAGAAAACGGAGAGUCCCGUUCGGAGGACGUAAAAACACCGAACGCCUUGCCAAGAGGUAAACUUGGUAGUUAUCUUUUUCCUUUCAAUUAUUUUAGUUAAUCAGGUUCAUAUCAUCUUGAAAAGAAAAUAAAAAUGUUAAGUAAGCCCCAUGUGAGUAUGCUCAUGGCAUAAAACCCAUAAGUACAUUCACUGUGGUGGCAUAAAAAUAAAAUAAAUAUAUUCCUGUCCUAUAAAAAUAAAAUUAUAAAAAUAGAUUUAUGAUCCUACCAAAGAGAGUAACAUUUAUUGAGGAGGCUCAACAUGAUAAAGGCUAGAUAUUUAUACUAACACUUAACCAGUUCCACAAAGCUUUGUUGUCUAUUUGAGCUCCACAGAAUUCAAGGAUCAAAGAAGACUAGCAGACGGAGGACAUCCUAAUCGCUGUCAGAGUGCUACCGACAUUCAAAUACACCUCCGCCACCUACUAGCUACAUCAAAAGGAAUUAUGUCAAAAUCCAGCUUGGGGGAGAGCACCCCCAUUUAUCCAGCUAAGUAUUCUACUCACGUUUAUAUUUUACUCAAAUAAUAAAAAGAUGCAUAUUCAUAAAAACCCAAAUAAAGAUUUUAUGCUUAUAUAUAUCUUUGCUUAGUUUGAUAAAUAAAUAAAUAAAUAGAGUUUGCUAUGAACCCUCAUGAUAAGCUUUCACAUGGAAAUGAUGAAUAGUUGCUCUGCCAUGACUAGUUCUAAAAAUUGAAAUCUCUCUUAAGUUUAGGCAUGACUGUUAUUAAUUAAGAUUUGCUCUAAACCUGAACUUGUGGGGAGAGUACUUGAUCUAAAGUCUAAGUCGUUAACGGAUACGAUAUGGGAAGGUUGAGCUGCUGUUUAUCUGUUCCUAGAGAUGCUAGAAUUCUGGAGAAUUUUAUCUUUGAAAAUCUUUAAAAUGUUGCAUGAUGAGUUUCUGUAUGAUGAGAGUUUAAAUUCCUACCACAGCCAUAUAUACAUGCUUGUUAGACUAUGAACCACACAUUUACUUUUUACUGCUUAUGAGCAUUGAGUGUGGUCAAGCUGUGUAGACCCUUAGGAGCUUGUCAUGUGGUUAAAUCAAGAUUCACUUGCACGUUCACUCACACAUGCUACUUCUACUCCAGAAGUACCAUCCACAUAUAUCUAUCCAUUUCCAUCUCCAGAGCCACCUAAAAAUAUUCUACUCCUAAUCCGGGAGAGAAUAGCCAAAAACAUUUAUGUUUUUCCCCUGUGAAAUAAAUGCUCAAGUUAUCUUGGUUACUACCACUUGCUAUAUUAUUUCAGGAGAUGAGUGCUCUAAUAUAAAAAAAAGAGAGAAAAAAAUAAUAAAUACGAGGAAAUAAAAAGGGGCAAGUGCCCGGAACCUCGAAAGAAAAGAAAAAAAAAAGUGAGACGAGAGGUAAAAAUGGACAAGUGUCCGACAGUAGAAUUAGGGGUAUAAGAUACCCACCUGAGAGAAAAGAAAAAGAAAAUAUAGAGCAUCUCAUUCUCCUCAAAAAGUUUCAAAAGAGCAAGAAAGGUAUGUAUCCCCUCAAAAGAGCAUAAGUAGAAUUAGGCUUUCACCAUUGUUAUCACCAUCAUCACCAUACACCAUUCAUUCGCCACACAUGCACAUCUUGAUUUGACUUAUUGACUUGAUCUUCUGGAUCCAUGGUUUGACUAUGCAAUAAAUGUCUUGUAAGUAUGUAUUAGCUGUCUCCCACCUAUGAGCUCCAGAUAUCAAAAGCCUUAUUAGAGUAGGGUGAGAGAGAAGGCAAUGUCACUAUGCCUCAUACCAAAAAUACUACAUACUUUGAGAGAAGGCAUACCACAAAAGAGAGACUAGAGAGAGUCAUACAAGGAAUCUCUGAGUUUUAUUUAAAAAUCUGCAAAAACUCCAGAGCUAUAGUUAAUCGAAGAACAAGAGACAUGGCGCUUGACUAGACCGUUCUAUCUUUUAACUGCUCAAGACAGAAGUGACGGUUACAAGUCCCAUGGUGGAAGGUAAAAUGAGUAAGUUUAAAUCUUAACAGUUUACCCUAACCCAGAGAUGAGAUCUUGUUUGAACGCAUGUGUAUCUUUAAGGCAUGAAACCACUGCAGAAACUCUUGAGUCCAUCUUUGCUCAGGGACGAGCAAAGGUUAAGCUUGGGGGAGCUUGUUGACGGUCCUUAAUGCUCACAUUUAACCAUCAACUAAUCAUAGAAAAGGAUCCAAAUGCAACCAACACCUAGACUUAGGGUUUUAUCUGACAGAAUUCCACGAGUUUUGGUGUUUGUCUAUUUCUGCAGGGGGUUAUCAGGAAAUAAGGAAGAAAGGCCCACACGUCGGGUUUACAUAGAGAUAUUAACAUGCCGCACAAUUUUCUAUCAUCUAGAAGAUUCCAGAAGCCACGGGACCGAACGGGAAGGCAAUCGGGCUCGGAGGCAGGGCGCCUGCCCAACUCUCCUGGGCGCCCGCCCAGCUACAGUGCCCAAUCAGGACACGUUUCGCGGACAAUGCUCCACCGACCUAAUACUUCAAGGAAAACCACACGAUCAAUGUCGGUUUGAUCCGACGGCCCAGAUUUACUUGAAGGGACUAUAAAACCAGACCCCCUGGCCCCUGGAGAUCAUACCUCUUCUACAGAAUCAAAGUUAGGGUUUCAAUUCUUCAUCCAAGUAGAGAGGAUCCCUCUAGUUCUUCUAGUUCUACCUCUAGUUCAUCUAGAUCUAGUUCUAGUUCAUCUAGUUCUAGUUCUAGUUCCUCUAGUUCUAGUUCUAGUUAGUUCUAGUUGUAAUCUAGAAAAUAGGGAGAGAGAAGAGGAGAGCGGAGGAGGAGCCGGAUCUGUCGGAUCUUCCUCAACAUUAUACUUUUGCAGCAUCUGGUUCAUUCUUCAUCGUUCUCCAGGUUCUUCAACUCAUAACUCCUGAGUUCUCUAAUUACUUUUAUUUACAUUCAAGUUAUUUAUUGGAUUCCCGCUUGCAUCAAGUGAUCUAGUCUUUGAAACAUUAGAGUAGUAAUUAAUAGAUUAACCGUGGCGUUUAGUCUUGCGAUUACCUGGAAUUGCACCCAAUCCUACGGAUUGUUGUGGUAGCCUUAGGGUAGUGACAGCCCUAACGGUCGACGUAUUCCACCUCGUUCGGAUCGGUGUUUGUAGGACCAUAGUCGGAGCUUCCUAGCCCCCUUCUCAUCUCUUUCUGUGGUUAGUGUUCUGAUGUCCCGAAAUAGAUAAUCUUGAAGUAAUUCUUGAUUCUUAGAUCAUCUAGAGAACUCUCAGGAAACUUCCUCUCUUCCCACCAAAAAUAAUUAUAUAGUUAUCCUUGGGCGAUCUUGGAUCUUAAUUAGUACACUCACGUUCUCUGUGGAAAAUCGAUACUCUGGAAUACUCCCGGGUGAAAGCUACAUCGGUAUCCGUGCGCUUGCGGAUUUUUCUGUUUGCGUUUAAAAUACCCAACACCUCUCAACCCUAAUUCAUUGUUCCAUCAUGGGAGAAGAAGCCUCUGAUCGAGAUUAGAGCCACCACAUCAAUUAGAUAUCUAGAUUAGCAUAGCUACAUAGGAUUAGAACUAGAAGGAGUCAAUCUUCGAUUGGUUUCCGGAUCUGUCAAGAGGAUUCUUGGUAAUUCUCUAAUUGUGUUUCUAAUUACUUUCUAAUUAUCUUUGUUCUUCAAUAUUAUGAAUAUGACUUUGUUCUACUUCAAUACAUUGCUUAUGACUUUGCUCUACUUGCUUAUAUUCAAGAUUAUAUUGUUCUUAGUUUAUCAUAGUUAUGUACUUAGCUUAGUUAGAUACGAUCUAUAUACAUGCUUAGGAUCGUAUAGCGUUUAUCCAUCGGAUCCAUAGGUAAAUGAUAGAUAUUGUGUAGGCGUGGUGCUUAUACCGUAUUUAUCUGCGAUUGUACCCAAUAUGCCAGAUCGUGGGGUGGUUCGUGAUAGUGACAGCUUCAUUGAUUCUUAUAUAGUCCCCCUCUCGUGUAUUGGGCUGGCAGAGCAACAUUAUUACAGGGGAGUGAUUGCUAUGUUUCUCAUAUUCCUUGCUAAUAUCACUAUGCAUGGGCGUAGUCUUGUCUCGCAAUGAUUGCUAAGUAUGCUUGCACUAACUAUGAUAAUGCUAGACUAUAUAGUUAAGAAUAACUUAGGGAAUAUUCUUGUAGUUCGUUCUAAUACCAUGCUAAUGACUUUCUAGAGUAUCUAAUUGAGGUGCUUAUCAUAUUUAUUAUGUGGCUAGAUCAGAUAGUUAUCCUUGUCACUAUUAUUAUUUCAUAUAUCCCUGUAUGAUGAGUUAGAUAUAAUGUUCUCAAUUAUACAUGCAAUGAUAGAUGCUCAAUCUCAUAUUCUAUUCUGUAAUCAUUAGUGAUGAUUUCUAAUCCCUUCCCAGUGGUAAAAAUAUAAAUAACGAUACCUGGAAUACUUCCCGGUUAAAAUGCUACAUCGGUAUUAAUCUGUGCGCUUGCAGAUCCCAUUCAUUAUUUAUUUAGAAGAGCAAUUGCAUAUUUCAAUACCGCGUCUCUUAUAUCAUGCUGGGGAUGACAACUUGGCUUAAGUGGUGUAAGGGAUAGGUUUGGCAUUUUUGGCACCGUUGCUAGAUUUAGAGAACUUAGUCUACUUUUAGUAAUGAUGUUAAGAAUACCCAACACCCACCUAUUGCAGAUGACAUCUUCUAUGAUGGUUUCUGCAAGACCUGUCUCCAUCCCGCUGGGGAUGAGGACUAACCGUUGGGCACGGUUCUCUAACCAUCUCGUCUUUGAUGCUUUUGGAAGGAUGGCAUAGACUCUGGCAGUAACAAAAACUUGAGAACUGAACUUUGAACAAGUGUGUGUAAUUAUUUUGCUUCCGCUACUUCGAACUUGGGUUGUAAUAACUUAAUGACUCCGAUGUGGUGCCGCUUCGACGGCAAUGAAUGACUAUGUAACAUUCAUUGUGUUUAUGUUGAACUAUUACGAUCUUGGUUUGUUGCGAGUUGGUUUGAAGUCCUUCGUGACUUCAAUUGACUACCGGGAUUAUAUGGGCUCAAGUUUGGAAACUUGAUUGCUUGGCGAUCGUUUCUGCACUUGAACUCUUAUAAUUUGGUCGGUUCUGUGACAGUGCUGCAGUCAGUGGGGUAUACUGAGCCAUCUCAGUACUCUUGGUGGGAGGUGGACAUGACAGGAGACUUGUAGUGGUUCGCUGUGCAGGGAGAUGUCCCACCACAUGGGGGCAGGCCUACAUGGACUGCGUGGACCUACAACUCAGAUGGGCAGACCCCAUGGGAAGCGGCUCAGGUUGCGGUCCAUGCUAUGCUGCUCAACAUCUGUCAGAGGUUUGGCAAUGAGCUGACAAGAGGACUAGCGGCCUCCAUUCCCCAUGCUGACCCAGCAGCAGCGGAGUGGUAGCAGGCUGAUGGUUGUGCAUUGGUCCGAGGACGACGAGAGCGAGCUGAGAGCUCCAGUCCCGCUAUGAGUACUAUGAUGGCUGUGCUCAAGCUGUUUAGUCAGCGAGAGGACACCUAUACAUAGGUGAUGGUGGCUGUUCGCCGGGCUCACGCAGAAGGCUGAAAAGCGUGCUCGCAAGUUUCGUAAGCAGCUAGACUCCUAGAGCAAGCUCGGAAGGAACGCAAUGACUGGGAAGACAUUGCGGAGUACUGCAGGCAGCUGUGGGUGAAGGCCAUUAGAGAGAGAGAUCAUAAGCAGGACCAAAUGAAUCAGUUGGCCAGAGAGAAGGAGACCGUGCAGGAGCGCUUGGUUUAGAUCACUCGUGAGAGAGAUACUGCACUCCGUGUGUCGGAGAACAGGCGUCGGGCACGGCAGAUGCACCGUAUCUAGUCGCUUGAGCAGGAGAACUAUCUGUAGAAACAGAUUGAGGCUGGUCUUGUGGAGAUUCACCAUCUCAACAACUUGAUAGACCCUAUUCCUCGCCCUGUACUAGUGUACCCAGAGGUGGGACCUCAGGUGAUCGUGGCCGAUGAUGAUUGUAUGGAGGUAGAUGGGCCGGCCGCGGCUGCAGCACCUUUGCACGAGGACGUGGAGAACGAGGAUCUUGAGCCGGUUAGCAACGAGGAUGGAGAGGCGAUCUUCGACGCUAACUCGGACGACGAGCCUGGAGUGUAGUGGGUAGCUGGUAGUCACCCUAUGAGGAUCUGUUGUAGUGUGACCUUUGGCAGCAGUUCUUCUGAAACCGUGUUGUAAUCCUGAACCUUGAUCUUAGACUUGUGGCCUGUACUGUGAUGAUGUAAUAACUUCAUGGACCUGAUGUUGUUUAACUUUAUCAUGUUCGAACGGUUGUGACGAUACUUUCCGUUGUCGUGCAUUUUUCGGAUAUCUGUGUCAUGUGUUGGGAUUGGUGAUGUUGUUUUGUGGAAUUGAAUUGUUGUGCCUUUUUCUGUAAAGUUAUUCUCUCGAAUACUUCCAGGCAUGAUUAUAAGUUCUUCUGCAGCAAAUCAUAUCAUCAUCAAUGCUCACUGACUGUAUCUUUAUAGAUGUCUUGUGGCACUUGAGGUGCGGAAAAUCAUGCGAACAUGAAUCCACCCCCUCCUCCUCCACCACCAAAUCUAACUGAGCUGAUGCAAGUGAUGGUGGAAAGUCAGAGGCUGCUCACUCAAACCAUCAAUCAGAUGGCAAACCAGGGUGGUCGGAAUGCACAACAUGGGCUAGCACCUAAUCAGUACAGCAGUUUCAAGGAUUUCGUGGAUACCAAGCCCCCAUCUUUCAGAGAGGCUGAAGAACCCCUUCAGGCUGAGGAGUAGCUGAACACGGUGGAGCAAAAGUUCCGCUUACUUCGGCUGACUGAUAGUUUGAAGGCCGAGUAUGCAGCUCAUCAACUGCAAGGUCCAGCAGGUAUUUGGUGGAAUCAGCAUAGGGAGGCUCUUCCGGACAACACCGUAGUUGAAUGGAAUCUCUUCCAUGAAGCUUUCAAAGGUCAUUUCAUACCUCUUGGGGUCAUGGAGAUGAAGCAUACUGAGUUCAUGCAAUUAACUCAGGGCAACAAAACUCUGAAGGAGUACUUGCAUGCUUUCAAUCAUCUGUCGAGGUAUGCUUCUGAGUUUGUGAGAUCUGAGUUGAAGAAGAUUACUAGCUUCAAGAGGGGUCUUGGCCCCAAGGUGCUGAAGACUAUGGGCCACACCAAGUGUGCAACUUUCAAUGAGUUUGUCAGUGAUGCUCUUACCGAAGAGAAUUACAACACUGUGUACACUGCGACCAAGACUCGCAAGCGAGAUUUUGAGACCGGGGCAGGGGCAUCUCAGUCAAGCCUCCAGUGGCAGCUAGGCCCUAGUAUCCUGCUCUAGCUCCUAACACACGAUAUCGCCCUCUAGCAAAGAAGAAUCAGGCGAAGACGGGGUUCCGCAAGGGGUACUCCAUUGCUCUUCCUAGGGCCAACACUGGGCCCAGCUAUGCCAAGACUCCACCUGCCAACCGUCCGUGCUGGAACUGUAAUCAGACAGGGCACUGGCAAAGCAACUGUCCUUCCCGCCAAAGAAGGGCAACCAAUGGAACGUCUAUCACGGGGCGUGUUCACUAUACAACUGUGGAAGCAAUCCCUGCUGGUGAGGUAGUUACGGCUGGUAAGUUUCUGGUUAACCAAUGUGAUGCCCUUGUGCUUUUUGAUUCAGGAGCAUCGCAUUCUUUUGUGACUUCGGACUUUGUGUCUAAGUAUGAUCUCAAGAUAGUUACGCUUGAUAAAGGCAGCUAUUGCAUUAGUGCUACUGGAAAUAAUAUUUCUACAAAUCAAGUGGUUUUUGGGGCAACUCUGGAAAUAGGAGAUCGUUAGUUUCUUGCUGAUCUGGUUGUUCUACCCGGCGUGGGUAUAGACGUAAUUCUGGGAAUGAAAUGGAUGAGUGGCAACGGAGUUCUUAUCGACACCACCACUCGUGUAGUGAUGUCGAGAGACCUUAAUACCAAAGAUGCGUUCUUAGUGUAACUUCCUCAAGAUAUUCAUAUCCAUAGCACGAUGAAUGCAGUUACAUCUAGGGCCAUCAAGGAUAUUCCGGUAGUGUGUGAAUUCCCAGAUGUAUUCCCUGAUGAUUUGCCCGGGCUUCCUCCAGAUCGAGAUGUGGAGUUCAAAAUUGAAUUGCUCCCAGGUACUGCUCCUAUCUCUAGAAGACUAUAUAGAAUGCCGCCAAACGAGCUAGCUGAGCUUAAGAGACAGUUGAAUGAGUUGUUACAGAAGGGUCUUAUCCGUCCUAGUUCUUCUCCUUGGGGUUGUUUGGCUAUCUUUGUGAAGAAGAAGGACCAGUCCUUGCGCAUGUGUGUGGACUAUCGUCCUCUGAAUGCGGUAACCAUCAAGAAUAAGUACCCUCUUCCUCGCAUUGAUAUCCUGAUUGAUCAGUUGUCUAAAGCUAAGGUAUUCUCCAAGAUUGAUUUACGAUCUGGAUAUCAUAAGAUCAAGAUUCGUCGUGAAGAUGUGCCUAAGACAGCUUUCUCGAUGAGGUAUGGGUUGUAUGAGUAUCUCGCUCGUCAUGUCUUUCGGUCUUACCAAUGCACCUGCUCACUUUAUGUAUCUCAUGAAUUCGGUAUUCAUGCCCGAAUUAGACAAGUUUGUGGUGGUCUUCAUUGAUGAUAUCUUGGUAUACUAUUGCAAUGAAGAGGAGCAUGCAGAGCAUCUGCGUGUAGUGUUGACGCGCUUGCGUGAGCAUCAGCUUUAUGCUAAGUUCAGCAAAUGCGAGUUUUGGCUAAAGAAAGUACCUUUCUUGGGUCAUGUAUUAUCAGAAGAAGGCAUAUCAGUGGAUCCGGCUAAGGUGCAAGAAGUGCUGGAUUGGAAGGUUCCAACUUCAGUGCAUGAGGUUCAGAGUUUUCUAGGUCUGGCUGGGUAUUAUCGUCGUUUCAUUCCGGAAUUCUCAAAAAUAUCCAUGCCUAUGACUCACCUACUUCAGAAGGAUGAGAAGUUUGUGUGGACGCCUGAAUGUGAAGAGGCAUUCAACAAGUUGAGGACAUUGCUGACAUCAGCUCCUGUCCUAGCUCAACCCGAUAUCGAGAAGCCUUUCGAUGUCUUUUAUGACGCGUCUGGUAUCGGUCUGGGCUGUGUGUUGAUGCAAGAAGGUCAUGUUAUCGCUUAUGCCUCACGCCAACUUCAAAACCAUGAGGUCAAUUACCCUACUCAUGACUUAGAAUUGGCUACGGUUCUUCAUGCUUUGAAGAUCUGGAGGCACUAUUUGCUGGGUAAUCUGUGCAAUAUCUACACCGAACAUAAGAGUCUCAAGUACAUCUUCACUCAACCUGAAUUGAACAUGCGACUGUGAAGGUGGCUUGAGCUGAUUAAAGAUUAUAAUCUUCAAGUGCACUACCAUCCGGGCAAGGCAAACGUGGUUGCGGAUGCCUUGAGUCGGAAAGCUCACUGUCAUUCAGUUCAGAUGGAAGAUCCAUCGUUGUCAUGUCUUGUGCACCCGCUAGUGCUCCACCAGAUUGCUCUAGAGAGUUCUCUUCACAAUCGAGUCAUCGAAUUGCAGCAAACGGAUGUAGGCAUCCAUCAUAUAAAAAGGAAAAUGAAAGAAGAAGAAACCAAGCAUUUCCAGGUCGAUGUGAACAGAUUUCCGUGGUUCAAGGAUUGGCUUGUGGUGCCAAAGGACCGUGAGCUCCGAAAUCAGAUUCUAUCUGAAGCUCAUUCAUCCAAGUUGUCUAUCCAUCCUGGUAGUAGCAAGAUGUAUCAGGAUCUGUAACCUCUGUUUUGGUGGACCAGGAUGAAAAAAGAGAUUGCUGCUUUUGUUGCUCGUUGUGAUAACUGUUGUCGUGUGAAGGCAGUUCACAUGAAUGCAGGCUUGCUUCAACUCUUGUCAAUUCCUGGUUAGAAAUGGGAAGAAGUUAGUAUGGAUUUUAUCUCUAGACUCCUAAUUUUUGUUAAGGGUUAUGACUCUAUCUGGGUGAUUGUAGAUCCUUUGACCAUGGUUGCUCGUUUUAUUCCAGUUCGAACUGAUUAUCGUCCACAUCAGUAUGCAGAGUUGUACUUCGAGCACAUUGUUCAUCAGUAUGGUGUGCCUGGGACUAUCAUCUCAGAUCGUGGUCCACAGUUCACUACCCGUUUUUGGGAGUGUCUUCAUGAGCAAAUCGGUACUCACUUAGUUCGUAGUUCUGCGUAUCAUCCUCAAACGGCUGGCCAAACUAAACGUGUUAACCAAAUCCUAGAAGACAUGUUGAGGGCAUGUGCUCUCUCUUCAAAAGGUUCUUGGGUAAAGUGGUUACCGUUAGCUGUGUUCUCUUAUAACAAUAGUUAUCAAGAGAGCAUCAAGAUGGCUCCGUAAGCCCUAUAUGAUCGAAAGUGUCAAACCCCGUUGAAUUGGGUGGAACCCGGGGAACGAAGGUAUUAUGGUAUCGAUUUCGUGAACGAAGCGGAGUAGCAAGUUCGUACCAUCCAGCAACAUCUAGAAGUUGUUCAGGCUCGUUAGAAAAGUUAUGCUGAUAAGAGAAGGAAGCCGAUUGAGUUUGCAGUCGGUGACCAUGUGUAUCUCAAGGUCUCUCCGAUGAAAGGCGUACAAAGGUUUGGAGUCAAGCGAAAGCUUGCACCUCGUUAUGUGGGUCCUUAUCGGAUUCUCGAGAAAAAAGGGAACGUAGCUUAUAAGGUUCAACUACCGGUUGAGCUUCGAGCUAUCUUUCCUGUCUUUCAUGUAUCACAGUUGAAGAAAUGCCUUCGUGUGCUGGAAGAACGAGUGGAAGUUUGGGAUAUCAAGUUGAAAUCUGACUUGGAGAAACCUGUAGCGGUUGUUGACCGCAAGGAGCGGGUGACUCGUAAUUGUGUGGUUAAGUUCUACAAGGUGUUGUGGAGUAACCACGGUGAGGAAGAUGCCACUUGGGAAACAGAGGACUAUUUAAAAGAAGUUUAUAAAACUUUAUUUGAAAAUCAGUCAGCUUCCAAAUCUCGGGACGAGAUUUUUGUAAGGGGGGAGGGCUGCAACACCCUAGUGUUAUGGUUGUUGACGGUCCUUAAGUACUAAAAUUAAUAAUCAAAUAAACAUGUAAAAGGAUCGAUACACACCAAACAUCUAGAAUUAGGGUUUUAUCUGACAGAAUUCCACGAGCUUUGGUGUUUGUCUAUUUCUGCAGGGGGUUAUCAGAGAAUAUGGAGAGAAGGCCCACAUUCAUGUUUACAACGAGAUAAUUACGUGUCACGCAAUUUUACUCAAUCUAGAAGAGUCUAGAAGCCACGGGAACGAACGAGAAGACGAUCGGGCUCGGGGGUAGGGCGCCCGCCUAGGGUUAGAGUCCAAUCAGGACUCUCUUUUGGGACUACGCUCCACCGACCUAAAGUAUGAAUCUAAACCAUACAAUCAAUGUCGGUUUGAUCUAACGGCCCAAAUUCACUUGAAAGGACUAUAUAACCAAGGCCUCUCCACCCCUAGAGGAGAGAAGAGAGGAGGAGAAAUCAUUAUCAGAGGUAGCCAUCAAAGUUAGGGUUUAGACUUCUCUCCCACAGAGAAUUAGAAUUAGCUACUCGCUAAUCCUUCAAGUUUAGAGGGUUGAUUAGAUAGCAAUUAGAGAAGUAGAGCACGACGCUCUGGAUUCGGAUCUUCGGUAAUAAAGAUUCGUAUUGAUCAUAUCUUUCUCUAAUACUUUGUUCUAAUUGCAUUAUGUCUCUACUUAUUAUGUUCUUAGUUUGCUCUAGUUCUAUAUUUGAUAUAGUUAUGAUUGAUAAUGAGUUUAUGUACAAGUUUGCAAAGCGCUUAGCUCUUGACGCGAGGGAGUUAAGUGGUAGAUCACAUGUGGGCGUGGUGCUUAGAUGUUAUUUACCUGCAAAUGUAUCCUAUUGGCCCCGUCGUGUGGUAGUUCGCGAUAGUGACAGCUUCAUGGAUUCUUAUAUAGUCCACCCUCCGUUGAUAGGACAGGCAGAACUUGUAUUGCGAAUUAAGUCCUGCGAUGUUCUGAUUUACUUUAGCAAUGUUCCUUAUACAUGAAUGAAGAGUCUUUUAUGCUAUACAUGAUUGUGUAGAUAACUAGAGUAGAUUAUGACUUAGUUGAUAGUAGAUAACUUAUAAUCCAUUCUCUAGCUAAUCCAACGUCACCUACAUAUAUGAGGAGUAGUCUAUUUUCUAAUCAUUGUGUUAUUUACCCUUGAACUUAUAAUUCAUUAUCGUUAUCUUUAUGGUUUACCCCCUGCUAAAGUAAGUGACUGUGUGACGAGUUUCUCAUUAGUAAUCAUGUUCUUGCAAGUUUAUCUCUAGUCUAUGCCUUGAUAGAUUUUGCCCUUAUUUUAAUUUCAUACCUUUUGUUCUCUUAAGCAAAAUUAUUAAUAACGAUACGUGGAAUACUUAUCCUAGUGAAAUGCUACAAUGAGGUGUUUUAUCUGUGCGCUUGCGGAUAGAAUAGAUUAUUUUCUAGAGAGCCUUUACAUAUAUAAAUACCUUUGUACACUCUGGCACCAUGCUGGGGAUGACAACCUAGUAUCUAAGUGGUGUUAGCUAGUGAUUUACUCAUCUGCUAGUGAUUUUGAUGAGGAUACACUUGCACUGCUUGCGACUGACCAUGCAGGUAAUGAAGAUCAAAUAGAAGAACAUAUUAAUGCAGGUGAAGCGGACCACUAUGAGAGCUUGAUCGUGCAGCGAGUGCUUAGUGCACAAAUGGAGAUGGCGGAGCAAAAUCAGCGACACAUUUUAUUCCAAACAAAGUGUGUCAUCAAAGAGCGUUCUUGUCGCAUGAUCAUUGAUGGAGGUAGCUGCAACAACUUGGCAAGCAGCGAUAUGGUGCAGAAGCUUGCCCUCAACACCAAGCCACACCCGCAUCCCUACUACAUCCAAUGGCUGAACAACAGUGGUAAGGCAAAGGUAACUAGACUUGUGAGAAUUAAUUUUUCCAUCGGAUCCUACAAAGAUAUUGUUGAAUGUGAUGUUGUGCCUAUGCAAGCUUGUAACAUUCUGCUAGGUAGACCUUGGCAAUUUGAUAGAGAUUCUAUGCAUCAUGGUAGAUCAAAUCAGUAUUCUUUUCUAUACCAUGAUCACAAAAUUGUGUUGCAUCCUAUGUCCCCUGAAACUAUUAUGCAAACUGAUGUUGCUAGGGCUACUAAAGCAAAGAGCAAGAGCAAUAAAAAUGAUAAAUCUGUAAUUGGUAACAAAGAUGAGAUAAAACUGAAAGGACAUUGUAUGAUAGUUACCAAAUCAGAUAUUAAUGAGUUCAGUGCAUCCACUUCUGUUGCUUAUGCUUUCAUAUGAAAGGAUGCUUUGAUUUCAAUUGAGGAUAUGCAAUGUUCUUUGCCCCCUGCUGUUGCUAACGUUUUGCAGGAGUAUUCUGAUGUGUUUCCAAGUGAGGUACCAGCGGGGCUGCCUCCACUACGCGGGAUUGAGCACCAAAUUGAUCUUAUUCCUGGAGCAGUUUUGCCAAAUUGUGCACCAUACAGGACAAACCCGGAGGAAACAAAGGAAAUUCAGCGACAAGUGCAAGAACUACUAGACAAAGGUUAUGUCCGAGAAUCUCUUAGUCCUUGUGCUGUUCCAGUAAUUUUAGUGCCUAAGAAAGAUGGAACAUGGCGUAUGUGUGUUGAUUGUAGAGCUAUUAAUAAUAUCACCAUUCGAUAUCGACACCCUAUUCCACGAUUAGAUGAUAUGCUAGAUGAACUGAGUGGUGCUGUUGUGUUUUCAAAAGUUGAUUUACGUAGUGGGUACCACCAGAUUCGUAUGAAAUUGGGAGAUGAAUGGAAAACUGCUUUCAAAACUAAGUUCGGUUUGUAUGAGUGGUUAGUCAUGCCUUUUGGGUUAACUAAUGCACCUAGUACUUUCAUGAGAUUAAUGAAUGAUGUUUUGCGUGCUUUCAUUGGGAAAUUUGUUGUCGUAUAUUUUGAUGACAUAUUGAUUUACAGCAAAUCAUUGGAUGAACAUCUUGAUCAUUUACAUGCUGUUUUUAAUGCACUACGUGAGGCACGUUUAUUUGGUAACCUUGAGAAGUGCACCUUUUGCACCGAUCGAGUGUCUUUUCUUGGUUAUGUUGUGACUCCACAGGGAAUUGAGGUUGAUCAAGCCAAGGUGGAAGCUAUACAGGGAUGGCCUGUCCCAAAUACUAUCACCCAGGUGCGGAGUUUUCUAGGACUUGCUGGAUUCUAUCGCCGUUUUGUGAAGGAUUUCAGCACCAUUGCUGCACCAUUGAAUGAGCUUACAAAGAAGGGGGUGCCUUUUGAUUGGGGCAAAGCACAAGAGAAUUCAUUCAACAUGUUGAAAGAUAAGUUAACUCAUGCACCUCUCCUACAACUUCCUGAUUUUAAUAAGACUUUUGAGCUUGAAUGUGAUGCUAGUGGAAUUGGUUUGGGAGGUGUUUUAUUACAAGAGGGAAAACCUAUUGCAUAUUUUAGUGAGAAAUUGUGUGGGCCUGUUCUCAAUUAUUCAACUUAUGAUAAAGAACUCUAUGCUCUUGUUAGAACAUUAGAGACAUGGCAGCAUUAUUUGUGGCCCAAAGAGUUUAUUAUCCAUUCUGAUCAUAAAUCUUUGAAACAUAUUCGUAGUCAAGGAAAACUGAAUUGUAGGCAUGCAAAAUGGGUUGAAUUUAUUGAAUCUUUUCCUUAUAUUAUUAAGCACAAGAAAGGGAAGGAAAAUAUUAUUGCUGAUGCUUUAUCACGGAGAUAUACUUGCUGAAUCAACUUGAUUACAAGAUAUUUGGGUUAGAAACAAUUAAAGACCAAUAUGUUCAUGAUGCUGAUUUUAGAGACGUGUUGCUGCAUUGUAAAGAUGGAAAAGGGUGGAAUAAAUUCAUCGUCAGUGAUGGGUUUGUGUUUAGAGCUAACAAGCUAUGCAUUCCAGCUAGCUCUGUUCGUUUGUUGUUGUUACAGAAAGCUCAUGGAGGAGGUUUGAUAGGACAUUUUGGAGCAGAGAAGACGGAGGACAUACUUGCUGGUCAUUUCUUUUGGCCAAGGAUGAGGAGAGAUGUGGAGAGGUUUGUUGCUCGUUGCACAACAUGUCAAAAGGCAAAGUCACGGUUAAAUCCCCAUGGUUUGUAUUUACCUCUUCCUGUUCCUAAUGCUCCUUGGGAGGAUAUAUCUAUGUAUUUUGUGUUGUGACUACCGAGGACUAGGAGGGGACGUGAUAGUGUGUUUGUGGUUGUUGAUAGAUUUUCUAAGAUGGCACAUUUUAUACCAUGUCAUAAAACUGAUGAUGCUACAAAUAUUGCUGAUUUGUGCUUUCGAGAAAUUGUUCGCUUACAUGGUGUGCCCAACACAAUUGUUUCUGAUCGUGAUGCUAAAUUUCUUAGUCAUUUUUGGAAGACUUUGUGGUUCAAAUUGGGGACUAAGCUUUUAUUUUCCACCACUUGUCAUCCCCAAACUGAUGGUCAAACUGAAGUUGUUAAUAGAACUUUAUCCACUAUGUUAAGGGCUGUUUUAAAGAAGAAUAUUAAGAUGUGGGAAGAAUGUUUGCCUCAUGUUGAGUUCGCCUAUAAUCGUUCAUUGCAUUCUACUACAAAAAUGUGUCCUUUUGAGAUUGUCUAUGGCUUCUUGCCACGUGCUCCUAUUGAUUUAAUGCCUUUGCCAAGUUCUGAAAAAAUAAAUUUUGAUGCUAAGCAACGUGCUGAAUUGAUGUUAAAAUUGCAUGAAGCCACUAAACAAAACAUAGAGCGCAUGAAUGUUAAGUACAAAUGUGCUGGAGAUAAAGGUAGAAAGCAAUUGAUUCUGGAACCUGGGGAUUUGGUUUGGUUGCAUUUGCGAAAAGAUAGAUUUCCAGAACUGAGAAAAUCCAAAUUGAUGCCUAGAGCUGAUGGUCCUUUUAAAGUGCUGCAACGAAUUAAUGAGAAUGCAUAUAAGCUUGAUCUUCCUGCAGAUUUUGGGGUUAGUCCCACAUUUAACAUUGCAGAUUUGAAGCCUUAUUUGGGUGAGGAAGAUGAGCUUGAGUCGAGGACGACUCAAAUGCAAGAAAGGGAGGAUGAUGAGGACAUCAACACCAGCGAUACAUCCUCUCCUACAUCCUCUCCGACACAACCUAUAGCUGGUCCUACAUCUCCGACACAACCUAUAGCUGGUCCUACAUCCUCUCCGACACAACCUAUAGCUGGUCCUCUUACUCGUGCUCGUGCCCGUCAACUCAACCUUCAACUAAGUUCAGUUUUAAACUCUUGUCAAUCAUAUUUAGACAAUGGAGACACGUGCACUUUCGUGUUGCUCAGGAAUAAUGGACAAGAUCAGCAAGGGAAGGUUCAACUGCAUUCAGAAUUUGAGGCAACAACAACUUCAAGGGCUGAUUGCAUAUGGGAAGAGUGAUAACUUAACAAAGGUGAUUGGAGAUCAGGUCCAAGCCUCCACAACAUCCUCUAUCAAGUUACCACGUCGCUUCUAAAGCAAGGAAACAAAGAGUCCAAACCCAACACGUUUUGGGAGUUGGAUUCGGACUGGAAAAUAACUCUAACUUGUAUGGAUCACCACGGCGUCAUAUGGACUCCAACUGGGACGUUCCUAUACUUGUUGGAAAGCUCAUGAAGUCUACUUUCCAAUGGGUCCAACCACAUAUCUAUGCAGUUUAUGAGUCGGGCGCAGUCCUUGUUUUCGUGCCGACACCUUUUUCUGUUUUGGUGCUGCGUCACCCUAAUUUGGACCAAUGGCCCAUGUAUCAAGUUGAGUCCAUUAGGGACGCAUCCUAGGGUUGGAGGACGACUCUAGCACCCCUUUGGUCGUCCUCCCCUCUAUUUAUUUACAUCUAGAGCCGCCAUGAACAACUGGGUUUUGUUUAGAUCAAGUUUAGCCUUCGCUACUUGCUUGUAGGCGCGCGUGCAGGAUCAGCCGCCCGUCUCCUUGUCUUCAGAACCCCAUUGUUGAUUCAGAUUCAGUUUGAAACCUUCAAUUCAUCUUGCAAAUUCAGUGCUUGUUUCCUCGUUCUUGCUAGUUCUUCGAUUGCUUGCAGGACGGGAGCCCUAGGGGCUGGUUGUCGCGCUCCACAAGAUCGUGACGGCUGUUGGAGGUGGUGUAUCGGUUGCUAAGGCGCGGUCUUGAGGGCUGUAGUCGGGCCGUGAACGUCAUCUCCAUCCACUAAUCGAGUUAUCCAGCGCCUCUCAUCGAAAGAUCAGGCCAAAAACCCUAGCGGGUUCGCAUCACAAUGGUUCUUGAUAAUGAUGUUGAUGAUAGCAAGGAAGAACAUAUGAUGAACUUGAUAUGGUUAUUAUUGCUUGUAACAAUCAAGUGAAGUGUUUAGUCUAGGUGCUAAUCUAGUGGUAGGCUAGUGAUGAUUAAUAUGAUGCCUUUACAAAUGAUGUAGUAUCCACUUAAGCUUUUGGCAAAUGUUGAGUCGAGCUAGCUACACUUUAUACUCGGUCUUGCAUGAUCCUUGGUGUCUUUAUGUUUGACUAGACGGGUAAGUAUAGCUGAGUACAUCCUCGUACUCAGGGUUUAUUCCCACCUGUUGCAGAUGAUGUCUUUUAUGAUGUCUUCUGCAAGACUUAUCUCCAUCCCGCUGGGGAUGAGGACUAAACCUUUGGGCACGGUCCUCUAACGACUUCGUACCUUGAUGCUUUUGGUGGAUGAGAUGAGACUUUGGCAGUAACAAGAACUUAUGAAAUGUGUGUGUGUAAACUAUUUUGCUUCCACUACUCUAAAACUGGUGUUGUAAUAACUAAGUAACUCUGAUGUGGUGCCGCUUCGUCGGCAAUGGUUUACUAUGUAACAUUCGCUGUAUUAUGUUGAACUUUUACGAUCUUGGUUUGUUGCAAGUUGGUUUGAAGUCCUUCAUGAUUUCAGUUGACUUCUGGGAUUAUAUGGGCUCAAGUCUGGAAACAUGAUUGCUAGUUGAUCGUUUCUACACUUGAACUCUUAUAAUUUGGUCGGUUCUAUGACAUAAUCCACCGAUUUGGGGUGCCCAAUGUCAUCAUCACCGACAACGGCACGCAAUUCAUGGGCAAGAACUUCCUAGACUUCUACAACCAUCAUCACAUCCGUGUGAACUAGUCUGCAGUCGCCCAUCCUCGAACUAACAGUCAAUUCGAGCAUGCCAAUGGCAUGACCUUGCAAGGCCUCAAACCCAGAAUCUACAACCGAUUGAAAAAAUUUGGCAAGAAGUGGAUCGAGGAGCUAUCAUUGGUCCUAUGGAGUUUAAGGAUGAUACCCAGUCGAGCUACAAAAUUCACUCCAUUCUUCAUGGUCUAUGGCUCCGAGGCUAUUUUACCCACAGACCUCGAGUAUGGAUCUCCUCGACUCAAGGCAUACAACAAGCAGACCAACAAUGAGACAUGGGAGAACGCAGUUAACCAGCUCGAGGAAGCUCGAGACAUGGCCCUCCUCAACUCGGCAAGAUAACAGCAGAAGCUCAUGGUGGUUUUGGCUCGGAUUUGUUCCAAUGGAUAGAGCUACACGAGUUCUACAAGAUUGCUUAAAGGAUCAAGGUCUAGUUUGGCCUAGAAUUCAAACUACAACGCUCCCAAGUACUCUACCUCGAAACUGUAGAAUCCACACUUAGCCAAAAUCGACUAAGUGUUGGAAGCAGCACUAGUUUUUGGCUUGUGGGCCACUUUUGGUCAGGUUCCAACCAUUUUCAUGAAAAGGCACCAAAACAACUGUUAUAGCUUAUAACAUUUACUACAACUUUGCUUUAGAUGUCAUUUACAUGCAAGGUCUCUAACACUGAUUUCAUAAAAGAUCUUUAAAAAGAGGUUUAGGGGGUCAACUAGGUCAACCUAGGGUUAAGCAUGACUUAGGGGCAUUUUUAGGUGAGACCUCCAACAUAGACUUUGUUCAAAAUAAUAUUCUAAACAUGAAUAAAGCAUUUUGGCAGACAAGGUGCCCUUAGAUGCAUUGGUCACAUAUUACUUUAACACAUACCAAGCCACAUAGCAAGUCACUCACCUAGGGUACACACAAUAUGACAUGUGAUCAUGGUAUGAUGCUCAUGAGUGAUCAUGAUAAUGCUUAUGUUGAUGCAAUGCUCAUGGUUUACAUGCAAGCUAACACUAGGAGUGUUACAUGGGUGGCUGCUCAUCCUCACUAUCGCUAAAGAAACCUUUAUGCUGUCCCCUGAUGACAGUCCUAACAAACUUGCGUUUAGCGCCUAGGGUUUCUGCUGAGGGUGCGGCUUUGCUAGCUGAAGCUUCGUUCUUACGGAAAAGUCCCUUCGCAUGCCCUCCGUUAGGUUUGUGUAUCCCUCUAUUAUAUAUGAGCGAUUAUCAUAAACAUGAGAUGACAGAGACGACUUUCGGAAGAUGAAGGCAUGACAGUAGCUCCCUUGCUAAGUCCACCACCACCAAGAGUCUUCUUCUUCGGUCCUAGUGCAUCGGUGGUUGGAUGAAAAGCAGUGGGCUUCUUCUUCUAGGCGCCAUCCUUGAUGAUGCGGGAGCGGGCAGUCGACUUCAGGCUUGGGCUAAAGUCCUAGCUUGGUGGGAGAAAGGCUUAUGGUGCCUCGACUGCCGCCCGUGCUUCUUUCUCCACAAAGGAACUCUCUCUAAAGGGGACGAUGUCUAGGUUUGCGAAGGAGCUAGGGGCUUGGAUCAGGGAGAGGGCGUAGCUAGACAUUCUUGCCUUGGAUCUUGGGAGAGCUUAGCACACAUGGUGAGAGGGAGAAGAGAAAGGUUUCGUGUGAAGAAUUGAGAGGCCUUGGGGCUGCUUAUGUAGGUUCUUCCGCGCACCUAAAUAAGGAAUCAAACUUGAUCGUAGGCUGUAACACGAUACUGGAGGGAUCAGAGGGUGGUACGAAAAAGAUUGGGGCCGAUUGGUUGGGCUAGGGGUGCGGCCGCAACCAGAUGCCCCCGAACCCCUAGGACCACCAGUCGGCCUCCGUUUUUUUGGCAGCUCGUGUUAUUUGUUUCCCUAAUCGUGAUCCCACUUACGAUCAAUGUUGAUUCGCAGUGUAUUGGCGGGAUGGGAAAGAGAAUAAUUUUUGAAUUUUGAAUAAAACUUUCUAAAACUCAAGAGAUUGCACUAUCAUGCAUUUAUGAUGAGAAGAUGCUAUGAUGGAAACAGAUUUUAAAUAAGAUAUACAAGAUCAUAGGGGCAUUUUGGGUAAAACAUAAAUGCAUAAAUCAAGAGGCUUUAUUUAAAGUAAAAUAAAUACAACAACAAAAUAUAUAUUAAAUUAUUUUUUUAACACAUUCCUUUGGUGUAUUCUUUAAAAGAAACUAAAUUUAUUUCAUCAAAAGAAUGGGGUUGGGGUUCGAGAAAUACCUUGAGACGUUGGCCAUUUACCUUAUGGAUGUUGCCACCGUCGUCCUUUAUUGUGACAGCUCCGUGCGGCGCCACCUUGAUCACUGUGUAAGGUCCGUCUCAUUUGCUCCUAAGCUUUCCUUUCCCGAACAAUUUGACUCUCGAGUUGAAGAGUAGGACUUUGUUGCCGAUCUUGAAUUCUUUAUGUAAGAUCUUUUUAUCGUGCCAUCUUUUUGUUCUUUUUUUGUAGAGCUUGGCACUGUGAUAGGCUUUUUCUCGCCAUUCUUCUAAUUCUGCGACUUGUCUUUGCCUCUUUCUUCCAACGGCCUUGAUGUCCAUAUUCCAAGUAUUGAUUGCCCAAUGAGCUCUAUGUUCAAGCUCAACAUGCAAAUGACAGCUUUUGCCAUAGACCAACUGAUAAGGUGACAUUGCGAUGGGAUUUUUGUAAGCUGUCCUGUAUGCCCAGAGUGCAUCAGGGAGCUUAUCUUUCAAGCCCGUUCCCAUUUCGUUCACCAUUUUCUGGAGUAUGUUCUUGAUCUGCUUAUUGGAAGUUUCGGCCUGCCCGCUGGUUUAGGGAUGAUAAGGAGUAGCAACAUUUUGACGGGUGCCCAAAUCUCGCAAAAAUUUCUCUGAAGGCUUUAUCAAUGAAGUGCAACCCUCCAUCACUUAUCACCAUUCUUGGUGUCCCAAAAUGAGGAAAGAUGAUCUCGUGAAACAUCUUUCUUGCAUGCUUGGCAUCUGCUGCUCAACACGGUAAUGCUUCUACCCAUUUUGAUACGUAGUCAACUGCUACAAGGAUGUGCUCGUAGUCGCCUGAUUUCUUGAAUGUCCCCAUAAAGUCAAUUCCCCAGACAUCAAAAAUUUCGACUUGGAGAUUGAAGUGAAGUGGCAUGGCGUUUCGUGCACUGAUGUUGCCUUGUAGCUGGCACUGACGGCAUCUGUGGACGAACUUCUUCGUGUCUUGAUACAUUGUAGGCGAGUAGAAGCUGCACGUCCAGAUUUUGGACUGUGUGUGAAAUACUCCAUAGUGACCUCUACAUGGUGAAGCGUGACACUUCUCGAUGACUUGUGCACCCUCUGAGGUGGGCACACAUCUUCGUAGCAGUCCGUCAGCAUAGACCCGGUAUAGGUAGGGGUCGUCCCACAGGUGGCGUCGACUUUCAUAUUCAAGCUUCUUCUUUGAUUCGCCUAGGGGUACGUAGUUAACAAUAUUUGCAUACCAUGGGUUCGUGUCGUUGAUCAUCAGGAGCAUGUUGUCGCGUAGGAAGUCGUUAAUCUCCUAUUCCUGCAUGUUAGUGACUUGCAUACGCGAAAGAUGAUCUGCAACAGUAUUUUCUACUCCUUUCUUAUCUUUUAUCUCAAUAUCAAACUCUUGUAACAACAAGAUCCAUCCGAGUAGAUGAGGUUUAGCAUCCUUUUUGGUGAGCAAAUAUUUGAGAGCAGCAUGAUCCGUAUAAACAAUUAUCUUUGCUCGCACCAAAUAGGAUCUAAACUUCUCGAUAGCAAAGACUACAGCGAGGAACUCUUUUUCAGUAGUGGCAUAGUUAAGCUGAGGUCCUAUCAAAGUCUUGCUAGCGUAAGCGAUCACAUGAAGCUUUUUGUCCUUGGUUUGGCCGAGGACCGCCCCAAUAGCAUAAUCGCUGGCAUCACACAUGAUCUCAAAGGGUAGUGACCAAUCCAGAGGUUGGAUAAUGGGCGCUGAGAUGAGUGCCUUCUUUAUGGUUUUGAAAGCUCUUAAGCACUCAUGUAUGAACUCAAAGGGAACGUCUUUUGCUAAAAGGGCUGUCAGUGGCCGGGUGAUUAGUGAAAAAUCUAUGAUAAAUCGUCUAUAAAACCGGGCGUGGCCUAGAAAGAUGCAAAUUCCCUUGACGUUCACAGGGGGAUGUAGUUGUUCUAUGACUUCUAUUUUUCCUUUAUCUACCUCGAUUCCCCGUUCAGACACUAAGUGUCCCAAAACAAUGCCUUCUCGGACCAUAAAGUGGCAUUUUUCCCAAUUAAGUAUCAGGUCCUUCUCUUGGUAUCUUUUCAAAACUUUGUCCAAAUUUUCAAGGCAAUGAUCGAAAGUUUUUCCACAGACCGAUAAGUCAUCCAUGAAAACUUCCAUGAUCUCCUCAAUCAUUUCCGAGAAAAUGGACAUCAUGCAUCUUUGGAAUGAGGCGGGUGCAUUGCUCAACACGAACGACAUUCUUCUGUAUGCAUACGUUCUAUAUGGGCAUGUGAACAUAGUUUUGCUUUGAUCAUUGGGAUGGAUGGGAAUUUGGUGAUAACUAGAAUACCCACCGAGGAAACAGAAAUAGGAGUGUUUCGCCAAUUGUUCCAACAUCUCAUCGCCGAAGGGCAAUGGGAAAUGAUCCUUUUUCGUUGACACGUUAAGUUUUCUGUAAUCAAUACACAUUCUCCAUCCCGUGAUGGUACAUUGAGGGAUAAGCUCGUUCUUAGCAUUCUUAAUUACUGUCAUUCCUCCUUUUUUCAGAACCACUUGGACGGGACUAACCCAGUCGCUAUGUGGUACGGGAUAAAUAAUCCCAGCGUGAAAAAGUUUGAGGACUUCCUUUUUCACGACUUCCCUCAUCGCAUUAUUGAGCCUGUGUUGUGGUUCACAUGUAGGUGUGCUUGCAGGGUCAAUAGGUAUAUGAUGGGUACAGAGUGUUGGGCUAACCCCCUUGAGGUCUUGCAAGGAAUACCCGAAGACCGACCUACGCUUUUCUAAAACGGCGAUGAGUUGAGAGGUUUCGUCAUUAGAAAGCUUAUCACUAAUGAUGACGGGUGUGUUUUUGUCACCGUGAAGAAAAGCAUAUCUUAAUCCUUCGGGUAGGGUUUUUAGCUCAACUGGAGGUGGAGUCGGCGCUUCCUCCUUAGGAAGUUUGAGGAUUUCUCCUGUGUCGUCCUCUUCUUCUAUAAAGAAGUUAGAGUCAUUUUCUAAGGACGUCUCAGGAGUUGGGAAUCGCAUUAUGGACAUAACCUCCUUGGGCAUAGAAGAACAGGGAGGUUCUGCUAUCGAGUUUAUAGCUCGAGAGAAUGGGAUCGAAAAUUUAUUCCUCCCUAUCUUUAGAUCUAAUUCCCCUAUGUUGGAGGCAUCAUAGAAGAAUGUCUCCAGGGGGUGCCCGAUCAGCACAUCGAAGCCUAUGUCGUCAAAGAUAUGAAAAUCUAGAGUCAAGACGACAUCUUUGUGCUGAAUGUUCACGUUGUAAACCACUCCUUGUCCCUUUUUAAUGGACCAUGGUCCAUCUCUAAAAGACAAGUUGGUAGGAGCUAAAGUCUUAUCACCAAGAUGGGUGAGUGCAAAGCCUGAGGAGACUAUGUUUGCUGGAUCAUCCUGGAUCUUGCAGUGAAUGGUUCGUGAAGGUGAGCAAAUCUAAAUUACUUCAGACAAAGACUCUCUUUCAUUCGUCCAUUCAUUGCUCAUGAUCGCUGUCAACUCCUUAAUGGAUUCUUUAAAGGAAUCACAAUCAGGUUCUGGAGUGACACAAACAUGAUUGAUCUUCUUUUUAUUAUACUUCGAAUAAUUACUGAAAUCGUCAAUGAAAUCAUCAUCAAAGCAUGGAAGUGUAUAGGGUAGAGGGUUCUCUCUUAGCUCAUCUGAUUGAGGUGAGGAUGUCUCAGGUUGUGCAUUUGUUUCGGCCUCAGCCGAAGAUACUUCCUCAAAACACGGCUCUAGUUCUACGCGGAGGGGUUCUAAGGGGGGGGGGUAUUCUCUAGAAUGCGAUCUAGCAGAGCUUCUCCAUCCUCUGCAGUUUUGUGUGUGAAUGAUCCUCCCACGGACGUAUCAAGCAUUAGGGCAGAUUCCUUGUUAAGCCCUAACCAAAAGUGUUGUAAUAGCACAUGGUUGGGGAUAGACAAGUUUGGGCCAGAUUUGGUCAAAGUUGUGAAUCUGUCCCAAGCUGCUCCUAGGGAUUCCUUCUCUUCUUGAUGGAAGUUGAGAAUCUCUUGACGUAGGGUACCAAUUCAGGAUAAGGGGUAGAAUGCUAGGCAGAAUUUGUUUCGCAAUUCUUCCCAAUCGGCAGCUACCUUCCCUACGUUCUGGGUGUACCAUUGCCUCGCCCUCUCAUUAAGAUAAAAGGGAAACAUUUCCACCGCAUUGUCUCGGGUGACAUGCCAGCAAUGGUGAGGCAUGCACAGAGCUGCUCAAAUUCCCUCAAGUGGUGAUAUGGGUUUUCGUAAUCUAAGCCUGAGAAGGAUUGUUCCCGAACCAUGGCUAUAAAAGUCGGCCGGAGUUCGUAACUCGAAGUUGUGAUGGGCUUCGUGGAUUGUGGAGGUGUGGCGAACUUGUCUUGGGAGCAGACAUAUCGGAGAUGGUAGGUUGCACCAUCGGAACAAAGUAAGAAAAGAAAGGUAAAAACAAAAGAUACACGGGCAACUAGGUUCGGAGACUAAGACGACAACUGUUCCCCGGCAACGGCGCCAGAAAUUCUUGUUGGCGCUUCUUAGCGACAGCAGAGAAAACCACAAGCGCAUGGAAGUACCGUUGUAGCACUUCACCCAGAAGUACUCAGGGUAUCGUAUUUAUCCAUAGGGAAUGGCAAAAUUUCACUUACACUCUAAACUAAUCACCCUAGAAGAUAGAAGGGAGGAGAACACGGCUGAGAGGAUACACUAAAGUGAUGAACCACUAAGUGGAAAGACCUUCCCACUACUUGCUUGCUUCAGGCCCACUAAGAGUCCUACGUAACUAGGCGAUCCCAGUAUCAGCACUAUGAUACGACUGAUUGUUGGGGAUUACUACGGAUGCCAGAUGCUGUCACUACAAAGACACCUAACCCUCUGCCCGAAAGGCGUACCACAUACGAAUGUAGACCGCAACUUAGACACCACGUCUACAAAGGUGACUACUGCUCUAGCGAUGCGUAGGAUUAUCCAUCUCUAUCAGGAGUCCUCUUACUAGAGCACCCGUUUUAAGAACGAGCGAUGAUCCCACAAGCAAAUAGCUUUAUGAAAGUAAUUCACUUAAUAAAUCAAAACUGAAAUGUAACACAGACCUCUUACUUCAAGUAGUAAGAACGAAUGUAUAGGUUCAAGAAGGAGCGAGAGCCGACAGGUCUGGCACUUCGUCCACCCUAGAGUAGAACUUGCGUCGACCCCGCUUCUACACUUCAACUCUUGCCUCUCUCUCUAGCCUAAGUCUAGAAUAGCUAGAGCUAAACUAAUAAAAAAUAAAGGACCACUCCUUCUAUUUUCUUGUAUCUUGAUAUAUUUAAAUGGAGGAAUGGGGUUCUCAAUUUAUAGCUCCAUAAGACGGUUCAGGGCGAUCUAAAUUUGGUAGUAGGUGAAACCGUCUUAUGCAUGCCGCCAUGCAACCGCCUGAAAAAGGUGGGACCGAGUUGCUGCCAUGGGAGGUGCGCCCGCACCAGGGUGUGGCCGCACCACUGGUGGCCCCCCUAGGCCACCGUCUUCGCGUGGUCAGUUCAUCUCUAGGCCCUGAUCCUUCCCGUGGUUACGGAUGGAUCCAGUUCGGUGUUUUGGUGGGCUUUUCCAUUUAAUCUUGAUUUGCGCCUUUUCUAAAAAUGCUUUCUUGAAGUGCGCUUUCUCGUGUCUUUUGCGCCUUUCCACGUGUCAUACCUGAAAUUGAUAUUUACAACAAAGCUUGUGGAAAGGUUAGAUAAAAGCCCUAUCAUCUAUUUAUUUUAUUUAUAAAAAUUAUGUUUAUAAUUAUAAGAUAAGAAGUGCCAACAACCAUAAUGUCAUCAAGUAGCAAAAACUAACUAAUUACAUUGGGUCUAGGUACCCAGAUGAGGCUCACAAGCCUUGGUCACCACCAUCACGCUCUCCAUCCUCACCUCCUUCAUUGCCGUCUACACAAGCUUCUAGGGGAAGCACCUCUAGCUCGAACAAGGUCGCCAACCUUUCACCAGGUCCCUCAGCAUCAUCGAUUAGGGAACGAAGCCUCUCCUUGUUUUUAGCAUCGGUCUUGGUAAUGUCGGAGACGAAGCCGUGGGACACCACCUCCAUGUCAUAGGAGAAGCCACAGCAGAUGACCGCCAGAGCUCGCUUCACACCAAUAUGUAGGGCAUCCCAGACUCGGUCCCUCAUGGUCGCUCCUAGGUAGCACAACUGAUCGACAAGGGCAUCACUCGAGCCGCUUGCCCCACCUCAUUGGCAGGUGGUCUAAGCUCCAAGCAGAUCAUCCUUAAGCUCUAAAAAAUAGCACCAAAGUUAGUUACCAAAAACAAACACGUUAGAAAAACAAGUGUGAGGAAUAGGCACUCACCACGUAUACGCUCCUAGAGGGUCGUGUUCUCACCAACCAAAUCGGUGUUCUCCUUCUCGAUCUCCUUGACGGAGCGAGCCACCUCUGUCUUCUCGACCCGCAGGUCCUCGAUCAGCUUCCCUAACAAGAUGAUGGCCUCCUCCUUCUCUUGUAGAACUUUCUUUAGAUGAUCGACAUCGUCGGCUAGAGCAUGGGAGUGUGUCUUCUCCUUCUCAAGCUCCUCAUGGGCCUUCUUCUCCUUCUCCUCAGUGACACCUUUUGCGCUUGCGUAGUCUAGGAGAAGGGCCUUUACCCCGGCAUAGCUCUCUUUGGCGGUGGCCAGGUCGGUCUCGAGCUUCCUGAUGUGCUCGGUGAGCAAGACCAUGUUGUCUUCCUCCGCCCUCUUGUCCUCUUUGGCUUUCGUGGUUUCCUCCUUGGCCUAGGUGUUGACGGUCCUUAAGUAUUAAAUUUAAUCAUCAACUAACCAUGGAAAAGGAUCAAUAUGCUCCAAACAUCUAGAAUUAGGGUUUUAUCUGACAGAAUUCCCCGAGCUUUGGUGUUUGUCUAUUUCUGCAGGGGGGUAUCAGAAAAUAUGGAGAGAAGGCCCACAUGUCAUGUUUACAACGAGAUAAUUACGUGUCGUGCAAUUUUCAUUAAUCUAGAAGAGUCCAGAAGCCACAGGGACGAACGGGAGACCGGACGGGCUCGGGGGCAGGGCGCCGGCCCUCCCCCCUUGGGCGCCCGCCCUAGCCUCGGGGCCAACCACAACCAACCUCUCGGAUUAUGCUCCACCGACCUAAAGGAUCAAGGAAAACCGUGUGAUCAAUGUCGGUUUGAUCCGAUGGCCCAAAUUCACUUGAGGGGACUAUAUAAUCAAGGCCUCUCCACCCCAAGGGGAGGGAGUAAAAAUCAUUAUCAGAGGAAGCCAUCAAAGUUAGGGUUUUAGAUCUUCUCUCCCACAAAGAAUUAGAAUUAGCUACUCCCUAAUCCUUCAAGUUUAGAGAAUUGAUUAGAUACAAUUAGAGAAGUAGAGCCUAGCGCUCUGGAUUCGGAUCUUUGUUAAUAAAGAUUGGUAUUAUUUCAUAUCUUUCUCUACUACUUUAUUAUAAUUGCAUUAUGUCUCUAUUUAUUAUGCUCUUAGUUUGUUCUAGUUCUAUAUUUGAUAUAGUUAUGAUUGACAAUGAGUUUAUGUAUAAGUUUGCAAAGCUCUUAGCUCUUAACACGUGGAAGUUAAGUGGUAGAUCACAUGUAGGCGUGGUGCUUAGAUGUUAUUUACCUGCAAAUGUAUCCUAUUGGCCGGGCCGUGUGGUAGUUCGUGAUAGUGACAGCUUUGUUGAUUCUUAUAUAGUCCACCCUCCAUUGAUAGGACAGGCAGAAUUUGUAUUGCGGAGUAAGUCUUGCGAUGCUCUGAUUUACUUUAGCAAUGUUCCUUAUACAUGAAUGAAGAGUCUUUUAUGCUAUAUAUGAUCUUGUAGAUAACUAGAGUAGAUUCUGACUUAGUAGAUAGUACAUAACUUAGAAUCCAUUCUCUAGCUAAUCCGACGUCACCUUACAUAUAUGAGGAGUAGUCUAUUUUCUAAUCGUUGUGUUAUUUACCCAUGAGCUUAUAUUUCAUUAUCAUUAUUAUGAUGGCUUACCCCCUGCCAAAAUAAGUGACUGUGUGAUGAGUUCCUCAUUAGUAAUCAUGUUCUUGCAAGUUUAUCUCUAGUCUAUGCCUUGAUAGAUUUUAUUUAUCUCCACCGUUCUCUUAAGAAAAAAUAUAAAUAACGAUAUCCGGAAUACUUUUCCUGGUGAAAUGCUACAAUGAGGUAUUUUAUCUGUGCGCUUGUGGAUAGAAUAGAUUAUUUUCUAUAGAGCCUUUACAUUCAUAAAUACCUUUGUACACUCUAGCACCAGGCUGGGGAUGACAACCUAGUAUCCAAGUGGUGUUAGUAAGUGUCAACAAGCAUUUCUGGUGCUGUUGUCGGGGAGACGGUGAGGAAAGUCAGGAAGUUAGUCAAGGUUAUUCACAUAAAAUAUUAGAUUAGACUAUAGAGAAAAAAUUGCAUAAAACAGCUACUAAGUGAGAAAUCAUAACAAGGCACCUGUGCUUUGGCAGGUUCAUGUUGUUGUUUUUCUAUGUUUAUAUUUUUAUACUGGGUAUAUCAGGAUUGACUUUGGUACAUUCAACUCUUCAUCAUCAGAACCAAAGCAAUCAAGAAAGAAAGAAGCUAGCUACCAAUUGCUGAAGCUAUGACACAGAAGACCCUACAAGAAUUCUCUGCUCCAAGCCUUGAGAACAUUCCAACUGGUCCAAGAUUUGCAGUAGAAGAAGGAGCACCUGAGUUCGAUCUCAAGUCAAGCCUCAUCAAUUUGGUACAAGCUACACAAUUCAGUGGAAAGGCACAUGAAGAUGCUAGUGCACACUUGCAUAAUUUCUUAGAGAUUGGAAGCACAAUCCACAUCAGCGGAGUCGACAAAGAUGUCAUACUGCUUUGCCUUUUUCCAUUCUCACUAGAAGGGAAAGCAAGGAAGUGGUUCUACAUUCAUCAAGAUAACAUCAACAACUGGACGAACUUGUCAGAUGCCUUUCUAUCAAAGUUUUUCCCAAUGGGCAAGACAACUGCCUUAAGAGGAAAUAUUGUCAUUUUCCAACAGCAGAAGACAUAAACCAUUCCAGAGGCAUGGGAGCGUUUUCAAGGAUACAUAUCACAUUGUCCUCACCAUAGAAUGGCCAGAUGGUUACUUAUGCAGACCUUCUACCAUGGCUUAACCUAGAAGGCUCGUGAGUGCCUAGAUGCAUCUGCUAAGGGAUCAAUCUUAGAGCUUACAAUUGGAAAAGCAGAGAUACUUUUGGAUAAGAUAGCAGAAAACCAAAGCUGGUUCCAAGAUAAAGCUCAACAAUGUCAUCAAACUGAAGAAAUACCAGAAGAAGUAAACACAUUAUCAACCAAGAUGGAAAAUUUGCUCCAUUUGAUUGACCAGAGGGCCAAGUUCAAAGAAGAUCAAAGGGCCAUUGAGACAACAUACAAAUAUCAACCUACCUCGAGUCAAGCCAAUAACAAAGGUAUGAAUUUAGGUAAUACUUUCAAGCAACUUUCAUUAAAAGAGAUAAUUGCUCAACAAACAAAAACUAACGAUGAAGUUAAACAAAGGCUAGACACAAAAGAAUCAUCUCUAAAAGAUAUACACAAUAAAAUGGAUUUUCUAUUAACUACCUUUGAUGAGCCAAACACUCUUAAUAAAAGGGUAGAGCUUAAAUUAAUAAAGCUAGCUACUGCAUUGCCUGUUGCCACUAACAUUGAGCAGGUAAAGAACAUAACUACUAGAGGAGGCAAAGCCACCAGGGAUCCCCCAUAUCCAAAAGAGAAACAAAGAACAUCAGCACCAGUGCAACCAACAGUGAUAGAAGAAGAAAGCCCAGUUGAAGCAGAAAAUCUACUACAACCACCAAGAACUGGAGAAAUGAGGAAAGAUUUUUACGACACCAACUAUUUGCCAUUUCCCAGAAGAAACAGAGGACUGCAGUCGGAUGAGCAGUUUGGUAAGUUUGUAGAGGUCAUUCAGAAAUUAUACGUCAACAUACCUCUGCUUGAUGCCAUACAGGUACCUACAUAUGCAAAGUACAUCAGAGAUAUUCUUAACAAGAAGAGACCACUGCCCACCACUGAGGUUAUCAAGCUGACAGAAGAAUGUAGUGCGGCCAUCCUCAACAAACCACCAAGGAAGAAGAAGGAUCACGGAUGUCCCACCAUUGAUUGCUCGAUCGGAAACCAACACUUCAACAAUGCACUUUGGGAUCUCGGAGCAAGUGUCAGUGUGAUGCCAGCAUCAGUCUACGAGAAGCUUGAGCAUACGACCCUAGAACCAACAUCAAUGUGCCUACAUCUAGUAGAUCAAUCUGUUCGACACCCGUUGGGCAUCGCCGAAAACAUUCCAGUCAAGAUAAGAGAUUUCCUUGUGCCAGUAGACUUCGUGGUACUGGACAUGAGUCCUGACUCAACAGUAUCCAUCAUCCUUGGAAGGCCAUUUCUGAGCACUGCGAAUGCCCACAUUGAUGUCGGGAAGGGAGAAAUCAAGUUCAACAUAAACGGACAAGAAGAACACUUCACAUUCAAGCCUAGAACAGAGAGAGACUCUACAGUGAAGGAAGUUCAUAAAGAACAACCACUGGAGACACCAUCUCCGGAGGAAGGUAAUUCAGAAGAUUAAAAAGAUUUGGAGGUCCAGCUUGGGGGACCUAAAAAUCCCAAACCCUCGCCUAGAUGUAAAUCGGUAUUUAUCCGCAUCAUUGAUUCUCUCAUAUUUAAUUCUUGCAUUAGUCAAAUUUAUUCAUAGCAUUAUAAUAAUCAAAAGCCCCAUAUAAAUUAUAUUUGUGGUGUGUGACAACCCAUAUUUAUUAAUUAUUGUGGAGACACAAAAAUAUUUUUCAUUAUCAUUUCAAAUAAGUUUCAAUUCUCAUAGAUUUUCCUGCAUUAUAUUUAAUUAUAGCAACCUUCUGGAAGCAUGGCCCACACUCCUUGGGUCCCACAUGUCAUACACCACACCUCGCAUACAUCCCAUCACAUUAUUUGAUCCACCAACAUAUCUCCACUCACCAGCACUUUUCACUGACCAACCACUACCCAUGAAUUAUUUUUUGGCUUAAAGAUUAAGCAAAGGAGGGAAUAGAAAAGUUGCAGCCAGGAUGGGCACCAAAGGUGGGUGCCCGCCCACCUACAGAGGGCGCCCGCCCUGUCCCCCCUUCCUCCUAUAAAUUGCCACCUCGUGCCUCCAUCUCCAUCACACAAGCCUCCCAGAAAACCACGCAAGUUUCAGUUUCCAGAAAAGGAGCUCUUGUAGUGAAGAAAGAAGGAGAGUAGAGAGGAAGAGAAGAGUGGAAGAGAGGUUGGUAGUCUCUGAUUGAGAGAGUGAGGUUCACCUAGUAAGUAGUGACCCCGCUGUCUAGAGCGGAACUAAAAGUUGUUUAGGGGGAGGUGCUGCCAAAAUAAAAAAACUUGUCUUGAACGACUAACCCCUGGACUACUGACAUUUCGAACAGCUCACCACUAACAUUUUUCUCUCACACAUUUUCCACUAGUUGUGUGUGUCAACUUUUGUCUACAGGAUGUUCAAGAAGGUGAAGAAUGUAGGGAAGAUCCUCAAGAACAUAGGUACACGGAGUUCAUCUCGACACUCCUCGCACCAGUCAGAGAUGAGCUUCGACCCGACACCCCCGCAAGCUCCGUCAUCUUCAUCUGAUCCGCAAGUCAAGGUCCUCCUCAAGACAGGAGACCUUGGACUGAAGACCCGCCGGGAGAAGGAAGUUUACUAGCGGCUAUAGAAUAAGGAUUUAAUUCACACCCCCACUCUUGAUCCUAUCUUGCUACAAGAAAUAGGUAUGGACACUGAAUUUGACUUAAUUUUCCAGAUGGUGGGAUGGACAAAUUUUUGGAACAUAACUGAGCUGGGUUCUCGUAUUCUCACCCUUGAAUUUCUUUGCACUUUACAAUAUUAUGAGGGGGGAAUUGCUUUUCGGAUGUUCAAACAGGAUAUUAUGUUGUCUUGGAGAGAACUGAGUGACCAUCUCGGUUUCUCUUCAAGACGCAUCUUGGACAUUGACUCCGACUUACCCAAUUUUGAGAGACACCAGUUCUGGAGAGAGAUAUCUAGAGAUGAGUUUUAUAGCCAAGCCCGAACCAGCGACGUGGAACACCCCACUCUUAGGAUGUUCCACAAAUGGCUCGGGUACAAUCUUUUCCAUCGUGAUGAAAUUAGAAAAGUAAGAAUAGGAGAUUUACAACUUCUAUAUGCUGCUAUAAAUAAAGUACCCACUUCACUUGUUACACUUUUGAUUUCUCAUUGGCUUAGUGUUGACGGUCCUUAAGUAUCAAAUUUAAUUAUUAAAUAAACAAAGAAAAGGAUAUAAAUGAAAUCAACAUCUAGACUUAGGGUUUUAUCUGACAAAAUUCCACGAGUUUUGGUGUUUGUCUACUUCUGCAGGGGGUUAUCAGGAAAUACGGAAGAAAGGCCCACACGUCGGGAUUACAUAGAGAUAUCAACGUGCCACGCAAUUAUCUUACAUCUAGAAGACUCCAGAAGCCACGGGAAGGAAGCGGAGGCCGAACCGGGCCAGGCACUGGGCACCCGCCCAAUUGACCUGGGUGCCCGCCCCCUCACAGAGUUGGAUGAGGACUCUCUUUCGGGAUCAAUCGCCACCGACCUAAAGGAUCAAGGAUAACCGUUCAAUCAAUGUCGGUUUGAUCCAACGACCCAUAUUCACUUGAAGGGACUAUAAAACCAGACCCCCUAGCCCCUGGAGGAGAGAGCCUCUCAUCCCUAAUUCAUUAUUCUUCAAGGGAGAAGAAGCCUUUGAUCAAGAUUAGAGCCACCACAUCAAUUAGAUAUCUAGAUUAGCAUAGCUACAUAGGAUUAGAACUAGAAGGAGUCAAUCUUCGAUUGGUUUCCGGAUCUGUCAAGAGGAUUCUUGGUAAUUCUCUAAUUGUGCUUCUAAUUGUUCUUCUAAUCAUCUUUGUUCUUCAAUAUUAUGAAUAUGACUUUGUUCUACUUCAGUAUAUUGCUUAUGACUUUGCUCUACUUGCUUAUAUUCAAGAUUAUAUUGUUCUUAGUUUAUCAUAGUUAUGUACUUGUCUUAGUUAGAUUGGAUCUAUAUACAUGCUUAGGAUCGUAUAGCGUUUAUCCAUCGGAUCCAUGGGUAAAUGAUAGAUAUUGUGUAGGCAUGGUGCUUAUACCGUAUUUAUCUGCGAUUGUACCCAAUAUGCCAGAUCGUGGGGUAGUUCGUGAUAGUGACAGCUUCAUUGAUUCUUAUAUAGUCCCCCUCUCGUGUAUUGGGCUGGCAGAGCAACAUUAUUACAGGGGAGUGAUUGCUAUGUUUCUCAUUUACCUUGCUAAUAUCACUAUGCAUGGGAGUAGUCUUGUCUUGCAAUGAUUACUAAGUAUGCUUGCACUAACUAUGAUAAUGCUAGACUGUACAGUUAAGAAUAACUUAGGAAAUAUUCUUGUAGUUCGUUCUAAUUCCAUGCUAAUGACUUUCUAGAGUAUCUAAUUGAGGUGCUUAUCAUAUUUAUAUGUGGCUAAGUUAUGAUCAGAUUAAUUAUCUUUGUCACUAUUCAUUACUUUAUAUAUCCUUUAUGUGACACUUAUCCCUGUAUGAAAGAGUUAGAUAAUUGUUCUCAGUUAUACAUGCAAUGAUAGAUACUCAAUCUCAUAUUCUAUUCUGUAAUCAAUAUUGAUGGUUGCUAAUCCCUUCCCAGUGGUAAAAAUAUAAAUAACGAUACCUGGAAUACUUCUCGGUUAAAAUGCUACAUCGGUAUUAAUCUGUGCGCUUGCAGAUCCCAUUCAUUAUUUAUUUAGAAGAGCAAUUGCAUAUUUCAAUACCGCGUCUCUCAUGUCAUGCUGGGGAUGACAACUUGGCUUAAGUGGUGUGAGGGAUAGGUUUGGCAUUUUUGGCACCGUUAUCAGAUUUAGAAAACUAAGUCUACUUUUGGUAAUGAUGUUAAGAAUACCCAACAAGCAUUUUUGGCGCCGUUGCCGGGGAAGGUUGAUUACUAAUCAGGAAUGGAUAUAGAUUUUUGAGUUAUCAUUCGCAUCACUAAUAUGAUUGAGCUUAUCAAUUCUCUCAUACAGUUUUACCCUGAUAUAUUUUAUUUUUAUCUUAUGGAGGGGAAUGUAUGAAUAGAAGACAUCUUCUAGGAAAUUUUGUUGACAAUCCCGAAGCGUUAUUGAGAAAAACUAGAGCCAAGCUCAAGAAGAGAUCAUCAACACUUCAGCAAGAAGCUUCAUCCAAUCAAGAAGAUCACCAGAACUUGUCUUCUGAGUUCGAAGCUGUGGCGAACAAAUCAAUCCACGAGUUCUCAGCUCCCACUACGGACAACAUCCGCACUGGACCUGCUGCAGAGAUCGACGGCAACUUUGAGCUCAAGCCUGGACUUAUCAACAUGGUGCAAUCCAACCAGUUCUAUGGGAUGGCACACGAAGAUGCUAGUGCUCAUCUCCAACACUUCCUGGAGAUAUGCAGCACAUUCACCAUAUCAGGAGUCCCGAAUGAUGCUAUACUACUUCGCCUCUUCCCAUUCUCACUGUUAGGGAGAGCGAAGCAAUGGUUCUACGCUACAAAGGAGAAGAAUACUAUGUGGGCACUCUGCUCAACAAACUUCCUGGCUAAGUUCUUUCCCAUGCGCAAGACCAAUGCUCUCCGUGGGAAGAUUACAAGUUUUUAGCAACAAAAUGAUGAAUCUGUUCCAGAAGCAUGGGAGCGCUUUCAAGACUACAUCCUAGAAUGUCCCCAUCAUGGAAUGGAGAGUUGGCUAUUGAUGCAGACAUUUUAUCAUGGACUCGGCAACAGUGCCCGAGAAACCAUGGAUGCUGAAGCUGGAGGAGCAUUCCUAUCACUUACUAUAUCACAAGCCACAGCUCUUGUGGAGAAGAUGGCGUCCAACCAAGGCUGGAAUGAAGAGAGGACCCAGACACGCAAGAAAGGUGGAGGUAUGUAUCAGCUCAAGGAGGUAGACAUGCUGUCUGCAAAGCUAGACCUGCUCAUGAAGAAGCUUGACAAUAGAGCAGGAGAUAAGAAAGAAGUUAUGCACAUCUACGACUCUGACAUGACUUGUGAGGAGUGUGGAGAUACUGGACACUCUGGCAAUCACUACCCUGAGAUGCUUGAGGAUGUAAACUACAUCAACAACAACAACAAUAACAACUACAACCGUCCUCAACAAAAUCAAGGUCGGAAUCAACAGAGGCCUAACUACUCAGGUAAUUAUCAAGGUAAUAAUUCUUACAACAAUAACAAUAAUUUUCCACCUCUGAGAGAGUUAGUGUCUAAUCAAGAAAAGCUAAUGGAUAACCUAUCUAAGAAAUUGGCAUCAAAUGAUAAAAUGCUAGAAAAUAUAAAUAAUAGAAUGGAUAAUUUCUCUACUGCCAUCAAGAAUCAAAUUAGCUUUAAUAAAAUCAUUGAAUCUCAGUUAAAUCAAAUAGCUGUUGCUGUUCUUGCUACUAACCCCGGUAUACCAUCACAACUAGAAGGAUUAGAAUCUGCAAAUCUUGUAGACAUGUUUGAUGCAGGUAAUUGGAGUAACCCCGUCACUGAAUUCACUACUGACCUUCUGCCGGUCAAGAGAGGCGAUCUAGGACGCCCCGUCAUCCCGGUCUCUAUCGGCAUGGUGGACUUCCCAGAAGCACUCUGCGACUUUGGCUCUAGUGUCAACAUUAUGCCCAGGGUACUCUAUGAAAAAUUCUUUACGUAUCCUUUAUUAAAAACAACCAUGUGUUUGCAGUUUGCAGAUCAGACGAUAAGUUUUCCAAAAGGAAUAUUGAAGAACCUUUGUGUCCGAGUUGGUACCUUGUAUGCCCCAGCAGACUUCGUGGUGAUAGAGACCGGUAAUGAUGAGAGGGCACCCAUCAUCUGAGGGAGGCCAUUCUUGAACACCUUAGGAGCUGUCAUCUAUGCUAGUGCUACCAAGAUCAGUUUCUACAUCAAAGGGAGGAAGGAGACGUUUUCCUUCAGGAACAAGACUACACAAAUCCCAGAUCAAUCCAGAUGUGAACCAAGGAAGAGGACCAAUAGGAGGAACAGGAACAAGCAAGUGUGGACCGAGUCAGCUAAGAUGGUCACUGCAAUUCAAGGAGGUCAAGAUCAACAACUUAAGUCACCAUUUUUGACCAAAAAGGACGACCCAGGAAUGCCAAGCAUCAAUUGCUCCAUAAAUGGAUACAACUUCUACAAGAUGACUUGCGACACUGGAUCGGGCGUCAACAUAAUGGCCGCAGUCAGCUAUCGGCUCUUGUUCGGAACCAUGCCCCUAAAACCAACAUACAUUCAGCUCCAGAUGGCAGAUCAGACGUUUCGAGAAGUAAAAGGAACAGUAACUGAUGUUCCAGUCAAAAUAGACGAUCAUUUUGUCUACACAGACUUUCAGGUUAUUGACAUGUGAGAAGACGAAUACGAUCCACCCAUCAUCCUUGGAAGACCGUUCCUCAGCACCGUUAAAGCAAUCAUCUACAUUGGAACUCGAGAAGUCCAUAUGCACUUCCCCUCAGAGAAGGUACGCCGCUAUUUUACUGACCCUAACUAUAUCGUUGAAGAAUCUAAGCAGGUUAGAAAGUGACGCAACCACAACCACAGGAGGCAGAUUUUUAAGGACGGAUGGGCAGACUACGAAGGAGAAGUGGUAAGGUCAGAAGACGUAGAGUUUAAACAGAACUAUCCUGAGGAGACCGUAGCACCAAGUCAGCUGUGGAAAGAGAAGAUAACUAUACAUGAAGAGGAGGCGCUGCCGGAAGUACCAACUACGCUACCCAACGAAUCCCAAGACAACUAAAGAAAACGGAGAGUCCCGUUCGGAGGACUUAAAAACACCAAACGCCUUGCUAAGAGGUAAACUUGGUAGUUAUCCUUUCCCUUUCAAUUAUUUUACUUAAUUAGUUAUAAUCAUACUAUCCUAAAAAGAAAAUAAAAAUGUGAAAAAUAGUAAGCCCCAUGUGAGUAUACGAGUGGCAUGAAACCCAUAAGUACAUUCACUAUGGUGGCAUAAAAAUAAAAUAAAAAUUUAUUUUCUACUUUAUAAAAUGAAAAUAUAAAAAUAGAGAGUAAUAAUUAUUAAGGAGUCUCAACAUGAUAAAGGCUAGAUAUUUAUGCUAACACUUAAUGAGUUCCACACGCUUUGUUGUCUAUUUGAGCUCCACAAAAUUUAAGAAUCGAGAGGGCUAGC